rnacentral:lncRNA from 1 species
AGAGUGGUUCCGGCAUGUACUUCAUUGUUGCACUUACAUUUUAAAUGUCAACUAUAAGGCAAAGAGCAACGCACAUAUGCUUGGUGUCAUGGAUCAUUUAUCCAUUUGAUAUACCAUGCCCUAUGUCCCAGUAUGUUUUCAAUUGUGCUGCUACCAGCUGUUGCCUUGCACAUGCACUACACAUAUCAAAUGAUAUAAUUAUUUCAUACAAUAUAUUAUAUCGUUAGUCAAAAUCAAGCUAAAAAGUUGUCACUCUCUCACCUAUGUCCACCUAAAUAAUAAAACGACCAUUAAAUUUGUUAUGUUUUGAAAUUUAAACUACCUACAAUAUUUUUACCAGGGUUAUGCUCAUGUAAUUUUUGUUUAACAUGAUUGUUAAAUAGGUCUGAUGAAACCUAUGCGCAAGCUGGCAAUCAUGUCCCUUGUUGUGCAUCUUACCCUUGCCAACUAUAUUACCUUGCGGGAUGCAUCCAAUUGAGUCAAACAUAAAUCAAUUCAAUAUAAGAAAUCAACUGAGCACCAUCGGCCCUUGAGAAGCCUCAUAGGAUAUAUAUUCACCUAAAAGAAACAACACAUUAUUUUUAAAUAUGAUUAUGAGAAAUAAGUGAAUCCUGUGUUUAAUCACCUUAUGAAAUAUCACCAAUAAAACGGUAGGAGAAAAGGCAUACUAAAUAUCACUCUCGCGCAAAUUAAUAAAUUUGCACCCAAAAGUAGAAUAAUAAAUCUGUAGACGUGCAUACCCGUUGUAUGCAUAUAAUUACCAGGAAUAAUAUUCAGACCUUUAAGAAUCAUAAGAAUGCGUUCAACAACUCAUGAGUGCAUAAUGCAGACAGUAGGAAAUUGAAGAGAAAAGUUUGUACCAUAUAAAAUAGAUAGGACCAUAACAGCUGGAUUAUUCCCGCUGCAGCCAAGGAUAUGUCUUCGCCUAGACACAUUCGUGAGAAAUUCCUUGAUCUGGUGCUCCCGUCACAACGAUUCCUCUCCACACCGUGAGCUUUCUAUUGCUCCUCUAACUGCAUCCUUUGUUUUUGAAAUUUUCCCUGAUGAUCUAUGAAACUGGAACAAAUAUCAGAACUAUUUCCUGACACUCAUUUGAUAGAUGACCUAAGGACGAACCGAUCUGCAUGCCCGGGCCUCCAUAGGUUCAAACAGAAAUAGAAAAAGAAACGUUAUCAACACAUAGGGUUGUUAAUUAAAGAGGAGAUAUUAGUGGAGAAUCACAUGCAACAUAAUGCAUCGAUGAAGCCCUUGACGGCACCCAUAAGGCUUUUUUUCUUGAUUACUUUGAACCUGACCUUGACACCCGCCCAACGGGUUGAUAGUCUCUGGCACCGACGACCCCAUGUACGAUGUCCAAUGGAUAUUUCCUCUUUCAAUCUGAUGACUUGGCAUAAAAUAAAGACCAGGGUUAUGGUUCUGCAUGUGCAUGUGUAUGCGUUCUCACCUGUGUGUGCCUGCAGCCGAGGAGUGAAAGGGAUCUGCAAAAACUGAAUCCAUCUGCUCCCUGCUGCGAUGUUGCCUGAAUCGAUCUCCAAGUAUAAAGCUAGCUUGUCAAAAACUAUUUAGUCAACCUG